UCCAGUCUACCACUCUAAAUGAAUUGCACUCAUUUUAGAAUUUUUUCAGCACAUGAUAACUCUAAUUCUGAUGAUCACAAAAGAUCUCAAAUUCAUUCAUAUCCAAUGACUAUCCGCACUCCACUAUUAAUAAAUAACGAGUUUGUUAUUUCAAUAUAGUAUAUAUAAAGAAUGUGUUAAAUUUAGGUAACAAGUUUCAAACACAAUUUGAAUUAACUAUUUUUCCUCAAAUAAUGACUUAUGAUUCAUGUGUUCUCCAUAAUUCCACGACCACUCUUCAAUUCACUAGUUCAUAACCUUCUCAGAUCACUAAACCAAGAGCCUCCGAAAUCGAAUGCAAAGAUUUAUCCCAUUUGAUCUGAUCAAGCAUUAUUUCAACUAUGAUUUCCUAAAUUUCUAGAUCUCUUACUCUUAUGCUUUUAAGAAAUGGUUAGAUCUAAAGCCACUCACUCCGCCGCUACACGAGAAGUUGUCGCCAUAACUACAACCAAGUAGCUAUUAAUCAAUCAUCUCCACCUUCUCAGCUAAACGCGACGAAUCCUAGAGAAGAAGUUUUGUUACAUCCAGCCUGAAGCCUUACAUGGUUUCCAUCUAUUGCAAUCAAACGUUGGAUUGCAAGGUGCGAACGAGCUGCUGAACAAUAUAUAUGACAUUGUUUGGCAAUAAAAUACGCACGUGAUCGAGGAAAGGUUACAUCGCUUGGAAGAAAGCCUACACAACGCUCCUCCAUGCGGAAACACGGCCCAAGAGGUUGUAUAAAGUGAAACUCAUAUUGUCGUCAAAAACUGACCGCGACGAAGAAAUACGAGGCUCUUAAGUCGAGAAAUCAACAUAGGAGUCGAAAACAUCAAACUCCUCUCGAAAGCCCUGGGGAGACCAUGGCAACCACACUUUUUCUCCAAAUCAAGUAGAAAACCAGCCGAGAAAGGUGCAUCCGAAGUAUCCGUUGUGUAUUAGGAUUUGGGUAAGCAAGAUAUCAAAGCCCGUGGAGAAGUCGCCCAAGUUGGGCGAGUAUGAUGGAAAAGGAGAUCCCGACGAGCACGUGCAACUCAUAAACGAUCGACUAAAUUAGUUCAACGCUGAUAAAGCUUCCAAUUGAAAAUUGUUUGUGUUGACUUUGGUCGAGUCAUCCAGGUUGUGGUUCAAUGGCGUGACGGAUGGGAGCAUUGUAUCCUGGACAAAUUUUUGUGAACUAUUUUCUGCACACUUCACUGCCCGGAAGAGACGAUCGGUGAUUAAAGUCGCUUUGAGCGAAAUUGUCCAAGGAAAGAAUCAAAGCUUAUGAUCUUAUAUUGACUGUUUCACACAAGUUGUUAUUGUUGAGGUGGAGCAAGUUGAAGAAGUCCUGACGUGCUGAAUCUUUUAGAAUGGCCUUCUCUGCGGCCAUCCUUUCAAGUUAAAUAUCGGAAGGAAGAAGGUGAAAAUCACUCAAGAGAUGUUAAGCAUGGCUCAGUCGUACAUGGUCUUGGAGGAGAAGUUGAACACGAGCUUCGAUAACCCCACCGCUAAUACCAACUCUAGUCGCCCGACAAGGAAGGAGUCCCACCACCGGAGAGACAACUUUGGCCGAGGUUUACAAGGCCGAUAUGAGAAGUACACACCUCUAAACAUAUCUCGAGAUAAUAUUUACCAAGACAGUGCAGACACACAAGACAAUGAAAACAUGUAUCUCGAGAGAAUUUUUACCAAGACAGUGCAAACACAUAAUUUAAGAAGGGUAGAAUCUGAGCCCUACCAUAUCAGAUUGACAAGUUAAAACACUGCCUUUAAUAAAAGUCAUGACCAUAACAUUGACGACUGCAUCCUUGACUGGACUGCUCCGAGACUGCUCCGAGACAAUGACAUUCGCCCAGAAAGAUGUGGUUGAACCAUAAGGAGGAAAACAUGGAAUAUAAGCGGCAGUUAUUCUUGUAUAAUCUCCCUGCUCAUAUACAAAAGUUAUCUUCUAUUAUGAAUGAAAUAUGUCGAUUUCUAAAAUGUUUGUUUGUUUCUGACUGUGCAUAUUAUAGUGAAUCAGGGUGCGAUAGACGAGAUGGAGGUCCGACAUAAAGAAAUUAGGGGUGCUUAGAGAUUUUAGACCUCACCAAAAAUAACUUUUAUUUCUUCUCGGAACAGACCUCUUUUUUUAGUAAUUAAACACCAAUGAGGCGCUGCAAGCGUUUUCAGUCAGCCUCAUACAUGGGGGUACCUCUAAAAAACAACCCAAGUCGCGGAUGAAGCCCAUCAUCCAUUUCUUCUGAUAUGAAUCUUCUUCUAUGAGGUCCUCUCAUUCUCCUUAUAGACAUACCCUCAGUU